rnacentral:rRNA from 1 species
CCCGCUAGCUCUACCUGCAGUCGAACGCUGUAGCAAUACAGAGUGGCAGACGGGUGAGGAACACGUGGGAACAUACCCUUUGGUUCGGAAUAACUCAGGGAAACUUGAGCUAAUACCGGAUAAGCCCUUACGGGGAAAGAUUUAUCGCCGAAGGAUUGGCCCGCGUCCGAUUAGCUAGUUGGUGAGGUAACGGCUCACCAAGGCGACGAUCGGUAGCUGGUCUGAGAGGAUGAUCAGCCACAUUGGGACUGAGACACGGCCCAAACUCCUACGGGAGGCAGCAGUGGGGAAUAUUGGACAAUGGGCGCAAGCCUGAUCCAGCCAUGCCGCGUGAGUGAUGACGGCCCUAGGGUUGUAAAGCUCUUUCACCCACGACGAUAAUGACGGUAGUGGGAGAAGAAGCCCCGGCUAACUUCGUGCCAGCAGCCGCGGUAAUACGAAGGGGGCGAGCGUUGUUCGGAUUUACUGGGCGUAAAGCGCACGUAGGCGGAUCUUUAAGUCAGGGGUGAAAUGCCGAGGCUCAACUUCGGAACUGCCUUUGAUACUGGGGAUCUUGAGUUCGGGAGAGGUGAGUGGAACUGCGAGUGUAGAGGUGAAAUUCGUAGAUAUUCGCAAGAACACCAGUGGCGAAGGCGGCUCACUGGCCCGAUACUGACGCUGAGGUGCGAAAGCGUGGGGAGCAAACAGGAUUAGAUACCCUGGUAGUCCACGCCGUAAACGAUGGAUGCUAGCCGUUAGGCAGCUUGCUGCUUAGUGGCGCAGCUAACGCUUUAAGCAUCCCGCCUGGGGGAGUACGGUCGCAGAUUAAAACUCAAAGGAAUUGGACUGCGC